rnacentral:rRNA from 1 species
CACGUAGGGUGCGAGCGUUGUCCGGAAUUAUUGGGCGUAAAGAGCUCGUAGGCGGCUUGUCACGUCGGGUGUGAAAGCCCGGGGCUUAACCCCGGGUCUGCAUUCGAUACGGGCUAGCUAGAGUGUGGUAGGGGAGAUCGGAAUUCCUGGUGUAGCGGUGAAAUGCGCAGAUAUCAGGAGGAACACCGGUGGCGAAGGCGGAUCUCUGGGCCAUUACUGACGCUGAGGAACGAAAGCGUGGGGAGCGAACAGG